rnacentral:lncRNA from 1 species
AUGGAAUUGGCUGUGCCUGGCAUGGGGCAACCCUGGCCUCUCCUCAUGGAGGCCCCUGCAAUCCCACCACCAACAGUUUCACACCUGCACCUGAUAUAAAGAUACACAACCCAAUGUAAACAUCUGAAGGAAUAUUUUUCUUCCCAACCCCAGGACAACUGAGACUCACAGGCAUUACAAAUGGGAAUAUUUAGACUUGGAAGCUGAGUAUUUGGAAGGUGCUGACUAGGCUUCCCUGAAGAAGUUCCUUGUUGUGAAGAAAGCUUAACAAUAUGAAUUAUUAUUUAUUGAGUCUCUGGACAGUUUCUGAGCAAAACAUACACUUGAGACCAAGAGUGACAGAGAAAGGAAAACAGAGUGUAUUGCUCAUUUUGUUGAUCGAACUAUUCAAUGAAGUGAAGGGUUCUGCUUUGGUCAGCCCUACAGUGUAAAAAUAAAAUGAAAAACAAG